GUGGAAUUAUGUUGUAAAGGCAUGGAGAGUUGAAUUGAACUUGGUUUACCUUUACCUUUUACUUUUUGGUUUUUGAAUAAUUAGAGCUACAAUAGGUUGUAUUGGUUAUGUGAAGUUUGCAAUUUUUGUAUGAGGAAGGAUGUAUGUUCAAUUUAUUGAACAUAUCAUCUUUUAGUCUGAGUUUGUGAAGUAUGCAGGAGGUUGUUUUUUUUCUUCUUGUUGUAGGAACUUGGUAUUUCAGUGUAAAUAGUACAUAUGCAUUUGUGGGUAUGAUGCUCUUUUAUCUUGUCCGAUUCUUCAUCAAGAUGUAGUAGUACUAAUUGAAUCUUGGAUAGGUGAUCGAUGGUCUUCUUUUUAACUUUCCAUUCUCGAGAAUUUUGCUUGUGCUGGUAAUAAGAUUAGGGUUUGCAGUGGCUGCCUUUUAUGAUUUUUUUACAGAUGAACAGUUUUAUUUGAUUGAGGAAUUAGGUGCAGGUAGCUUUGGAACCUUUAUGGCUGUACCUGGAUUGGGAGAUUAUUGUGAAGUUUUGAUUAUGCAGAAUAUUUAUAUUGAUUUGAUAUGGAAAAAUUAUCCUGAGGCAAAAGAUGAAGAAAAAUGAAAACCAUAACCAUGGUUAUUGAAGAUUGCUGGUGCUGAACUUAAAAUGACUUGUGAGGAUUUAAGGGCUAGCAGUGGAUGUAAUCCUUGUAGUUUCACAUUUUUUGUAAGGUUGGCAAAUUGUUGUGGAGGCUGCAUGGUGUGCAUGAAGAAUCUGAUACUGAGAUUUGCUGUUGUUCAAAGAAAAUUUUUUCGGUAUAAAGAGUUUUGAAAAACAAUGGCGAGGCUCACUCUGAGGGUUGGAAAUGCAUAGGAAUUAGUGAAUUACUAAAUUCCUAAAAGUAAAAAGGAUGAUAAAUAUGUUAAGAACACGUUAAUUAAUCAUGGAGGCGUAGUUGAACAGUUGGAUGUUGUAUGGUUGGUUGGUUGGUUGAUUAGGCAACUAUUUUGCACGUGUCUGACCUUCUAGAGCAUAUAUACAAUUCUUGAGAAGAGAGAGAUUGCGUGACAAAUGAAGAAUUGGAUUCUUUUUCCAUGAAGCUCUAAUAUUUGAGUGAGGUUAUAUCAACUAAAAUUAACAUGUUUGGGUGAAGAUUUAGAGAAGGGGAAGGUUCUCUUGAUUGCUUUAUUUGAUUUAGCUGGUGAGAUUUUACUUAAAGGCAAAAGGGGAUUGUAAACCUGAAUCAGCAGAGACUCACCACGUGACUGUUGAUAUGGUGCUCCUUUUGCUAAUUGUAUGCGCCUGCUUAUAUUCAUGGAAAGGGAUGACUGCCCUGCUUAAGAUUGGAUAUGGGUGCAAGUAAUUUCAUUAGGCGUAGGGCAGCGUUCACCUAUGAUAGAUAGUUGGAAACGCUUUUAGUUGUUAAUAAUUGGUUUCGAUCUAUUUUUAUUUGAAAUCUGGAUUGGAUCAGUGUCAAAAUUCAGACCAUGCACCCGCACAUGACAUAAAACAAAGAGUAAUGAUUUAGUUAUUACUCCUCGAACUUAUUAUUAUUUUUCUGCAUCACAUUUCACAUAAAUAGUGAAAGAUACACUGGAACUUUAAGUUUCAUCCAGGAGUAGGAAUUAGCAAUAUCCAUAAUAGCCAGCGCCAUACUUGGCCACGCAUCCUUUAUUGCCUUCAUCUUUUUGACAGACACCUCCAUGCAAUGGUUUCUCUCAUUGGCCAGCAGCAUUUGCCAGCAUCUUCUCGCUACCUGCACUCAUUAAGAAAUAAUCAAGUCAUCGAAGUAAUCUUGACAUGAUCUUCAUACAUUUAAGAGCACUGCUGCCACGUUUAGUAAUAGAAACUCUGUUUAAAAUUUAGAAUUUUUCAAGCAUUUCCUGAAAAGUGCCCAGAUUAAAAAAUAUGGGUGUGCAAGUAUCUCUAUGACACAACACUGGAACGUUUUAUCAAAGGAUUUAGAUGUGUGAAUUUCGAUCAGGUGUUAGUGCUUUCAUCCUCCUGUGAGCAAACAAUUCGUUGUCUACCUUAGCCAACAAAAAAUAAAGCAGCACGGGGUUGAAGGAGCAUUUUACCAGAAGAGAUAAAGAGAAUAAGAAAAAGGAGGAUGGCAAAAACUGAAAGGCUCUUCCAGGCGUCCAUAUUACCUAAUUGCGAAGUGUAGGAUUUGUUUGUUUGAUAUGGAUGCAGCUUCUGAUGUUGUGUAGGAGGCAUUUGCCAGUAUUUAUAAGUGUGCCUAGAUUUCUCAAUUUUUUGGUUGAAUUAUUGUUUAAAAAAUGAUAAUAAAAAAGUUAGCCAAGUUUUUAUGGUGUUGCCAUAUUAUAUGAUAAAACUGCCACGUAGCAUAAACAUUGCCGUAAAAAGGAGAUAAAUGACUAUUUUCCCAACAAUUUCCCCAGAAAUAACUAAGUGUUUAUUGAAUGUUUAUUAACAAGAGAAGACAUCCCUUAAGAACACUUGCCUAAAAAUAGGAUUUUGGAUCCUAAAAGCAUAUGGAUAUGCAUGCAUGCUGGGGGUAAUGCCCUAGAAACACUGCGAACUUAUUAGACGCACGAGUAUGAGAUAUUAAACCAAAAUGCUUAGGCCCAAUCCAAGCCCAAUUAUCUACCACGAUUUGUGACGCGGCAUCGUAUUACUUGUGAAUUCCUCCACAAAAUUUCAUGUCAGUCUUACCCUUGCAUUAAAAACUAAAAAGACCCCCAAAACCCUCUAAAUCUCGAAAGUACCCCACGAACCCAAUUCCUUAAACCCUUCCCAGUUCACUCAACCCUCACUCCGUCACCACACCCGACCCGCCCAAGACGAUCCACAGUUCGUUCAAUCGCGGCAAAAGCUUGAAGGCAGUCGCAUUUGAGCCGGCGACAAUAAGAACCCGAUUUCAAAACGCCUCUGAUGAGAAAUUUUGUUAAUGUUGUAGCGAGAUCCUUCUUUCUAUCAAGCAGCCUCCUUUUUCAUCUUCACAAAGUUCGUUUCUUCCUUCGGAAGAAUUGUAUCACAUCCAUCCCAGUUGGUUCUCAUUGGAUUUUGCCCCACUUUGCCACAAUUACUGAAGUCAUUGGUCAUUACAAGCAACUCACAACACGAGCGUCUUUUGAUGGAGAGGAGAUCAAGGAUGAUAACUUGAAUCAAAUGCUUGAAGCUGUUGAAAAUGCCCCAGAAUGCACUACUAGGAAAGUCGGAACAGCUUAUGUCCAUAACUUAUGUAAAGCUGGAACUCUUUUUGCUGCGGUUAGACUGCUGCGAUUGUUACGCGAUAAAAACAUUUUCCUUGGUCCUAGUGCUUAUAAUAUAAUUUUGGUGACAGCUAGUGAAAAAAACGAUGUUGAGAUUUUGUCCCAGGUUUUCAAGGAUUUGAUCUUGUCUUUUCAGUCUUUGCCUUCAUCUUUGUAUCUGAAACUUGCCAGGGGUUUUGUGAAGUCAAACGAUGAUGUCCAGCUACUGAGACUUGUCAAAGAAGUUUCUGAAUUGACAUUCCCAAGUAGCACGAAGGUUGUAAAUAGAUUUAUCUUUGCCUUUGCUGAAUGCGGGCAGUUUGACAAAGCCAUUCUGAUAUUUGAGCAGAUGGAGAAUCUGAAAUGUAAGCCAGAUUUGGUUACGUAUAAUACUGUUUUGGAUCUUUUAGGUCGUGCAGGUCGAAUUGAUGAAAUGCUCGGUGAGUUUGCCUCCAUGAAGGAAGCAGGAAUUCUCCCAGAUUUUAUUUCUUACAAUACUUUGCUAAAUCAGUUGACCAAAGUAGGAAGAUUGGAUUUGUGUUCAGUGUAUUUCCGAGACAUGGUUGGGAAUGGAAUUGAACCAGAUUUGCUUACAUACACUGCAUUGAUUUGGAGUUUUGGCCAAUCCGGAAACAUUGAGGAGUCAUUGAGACUCUUCAAUGAGAUGAAAACAAAGCAGAUUCGUCCCUCAAUUUAUAUAUAUCGAUCAUUAAUUGCUAGUUUGAAGAAGAUGGGAAAGAUUGAAUUGGCAAUGACCUUUUUGGAGGAGAUGAAUGCAUCAAUGUCAAACCUAGCUGGUCCCAAGGAUUUCAAACGAACACACAGAUAGUCGCACACAGAGAAGGAAGGGUUUUUGCAAUUCAAAGGAGAGUACUUGGUUCAGAAGUUAGCUCAAGCUAGUAGAGUUUUGCUGGCCUUUUCUGAUGCCAAUACCUUCCAGUGAAUAAUUGCCGACUCAUCUCAAGGCCAAGGCAGGAAGAUGUUACUCGAACUGGUUUGGGUGGCGGCCUGUCACCAAUUCUUCACGGUGGGUUCCUUGGUGAUCCUAGUCAGGUGAUUUGAGUACUAUUUUUAUUUUAUAGUGCCCCAGCUAGCUAGGUGGUGCCUGCAAGUGAUUCACAAUUUUUUAUUUUUUUUUUCAUUUGGUGCAAGUGACUCAUAACACUUGACUGCACAGCCCUGGUAACUUGAUCGUGGCCUUGGGUCCUAAUAGAAGAAAUACACGGUCUCUUUUGUUAAAUCAAUCAUAUUUAAUGUAAAUUUUCUCUACAUUUAUAGAUGAUUGCAAAUUUGUUUCAUAA